AUACUACACAUAGCUUGUGGCUGAGAUCUAGUAUAGUAUUUGUUAUUAUCAGUUUAAUAUCUGAUACACCCUCUACCUGAGGACAAUGUAUUAAAUGUAAUUUUGAAGCAAGACGGUAGAAUAGGAGCUUGCUCAAUCCAAUCUGCACAUUGACCUGGUAUUGCUGUACUUCCAUGAAUGGUGUGCAUGGA